CCUCCUCUAAGUCUUCUUCUCAUUUGGAGCAUCUAAGGCUUAUGAAGAAGAAAGAAGAAAUCAGCCUCCAAGAUCCUUGCAAGCUAGCACUUUCAAGGAGUCUGAUCUGUGCUGGUCUUCAUGUGGAUGUUCUGUAGAGGUCGGACAACUUCAUAUGGCUGUGAGUAAUCUGAAGGAGAUCCUUUCCAAGCGUUGGACUAACAGAGAUC
rnacentral:lncRNA from 1 species